rnacentral:rRNA from 1 species
AUUGAACGCUGGCGGCAGGCCUAACACAUGCAAGUCGAACGAGUGGCGGACGGGUGAGUAAUGUCUGGGCAACUGCCUGAUGGAGGGGGAUAACUACUGGAAACGGUAGCUAAUACCGCACAACCUCAGCUGUGCCCAGAUGGGAUUAGCUUGUUGGUGGGGUAACGGCUAACCAAGGCGACGAUCCCUAGCUGGUCUGAGAGGCUGCCCGGCCACCAUGUAACUGGGACACGGUCCAGACUCCGACGUGAGGCAGCAGUGGGGAAUAUUGCACAAUGGGCGCAAGCCUGAUGCAGCCAUGCCGCGUGUAUGAAGAAGGCCUUCGGGUUGUAAAGUACUUUCAGCGGGGAGGCGUUACCCGCAGAAGAAGCACCGGCUAACUCCGUGCCAGCAGCCGCGGUAAUAC